rnacentral:rRNA from 1 species
AUACGUAGGGUGCAAGCGUUAAUCGGAAUUACUGGGCGUAAAGCGUGCGCAGGCGGUUUUGUAAGACAGUGGUGAAAUCCCCGGGCUCAACCUGGGAACUGCCAUUGUGACGGCAAGGCUGGAGUGCGGCAGAGGGGGGUGGAAUUCCGCGUGUAGCAGUGAAAUGCGUAGAUAUGCGGAGGAACACCGAUGGCGAAGGCAAUCCCCUGGGCCUGCACUGACGCUCAUGCACGAAAGCGUGGGGAGCAAACAGGAUUAGAUACCCUGGUAGUCCACGCCCUAAACGAUGUCAACUGGUUGUUGGGGAUUUAUUUUCUCAGUAACGAAGCUAACGCGUGAAGUUGACCGCCUGGGGAGUACGGCCGCAAGGUUAAAACUCAAAUGAAUUGGCGGGG